rnacentral:lncRNA from 1 species
AAACAGUUUUAAGACCUUUUAAGCAAGUGGCGGACACUUUACGAAAUAUUAGGGGGGGCUCGUGCCGAAGGCACGGAAAAUUUUAAAAUUUGAAACCCGGAAAUGGCAUUUGCAGCAUUCUGAGACACGCAUAAUCAGAAAACUCAGAAUUCCGGGCGCCAGAGUAUGCCUGUUCGCAGGUAGUGCUGUGAAUAAUAUCUUAACAACAAAAAUCAUGACAAAAGACACCAAAAACUGAUCAAAAUUGUAUUUUAAAAUACUCAAAACGCAGAAAAAUUGGGAAUCGACUCGCAUUACCUCAAUCCCAUUCCCAUUUUUGAGGACUUCAUUUCCCAUUCCCAGUGGCCAAAUCCCAGUCCCAGCAACCCAAUUCCCAUUUUCCCAGUCUAAAAAUAGAUCAAUCCCAGUUCCCAUUUUACCCCUUCAGGGCCCUCCCAUGACUUUGCUGUUUGCUUGCACGAAUUUUUUUUCCCUUACGUAAUGGCUGCACGAAUUUUUUUUCCAGGCAUUUUUCUUUGCACGAAUUUUUUUUUUGGAAUUUUCACCCCCCCUCCCGGGAUUUCUAAUGGUCCGCCCC